AGAGUUUGAUCCUGGCUCAGAUUGAACGCUGGCGGCAGGCCUAACACAUGCAAGUCGAGCGGCAGCGACAACAUUGAACCUUCGGGGGAUUUGUUGGGCGGCGAGCGGCGGACGGGUGAGUAAUGCCUGGGAAAUUGCCCUGAUGUGGGGGAUAACCAUUGGAAACGAUGGCUAAUACCGCAUGAUAGCUUCGGCUCAAAGAGGGGGACCUUCGGGCCUCUCGCGUCAGGAUAUGCCCAGGUGGGAUUAGCUAGUUGGUGAGGUAAGGGCUCACCAAGGCGACGAUCCCUAGCUGGUCUGAGAGGAUGAUCAGCCACACUGGAACUGAGACACGGUCCAGACUCCUACGGGAGGCAGCAGUGGGGAAUAUUGCACAAUGGGCGCAAGCCUGAUGCAGCCAUGCCGCGUGUAUGAAGAAGGCCUUCGGGUUGUAAAGUACUUUCAGCAGUGAGGAAGGAGGUAUCGUUAAUAGCGGUAUCUUUUGACGUUAGCUGCAGAAGAAGCACCGGCUAACUCCGUGCCAGCAGCCGCGGUAAUACGGAGGGUGCGAGCGUUAAUCGGAAUUACUGGGCGUAAAGCGCAUGCAGGUGGUUUGUUAAGUCAGAUGUGAAAGCCCGGGGCUCAACCUCGGAAUUGCAUUUGAAACUGGCAGGCUAGAGUACUGUAGAGGGGGGUAGAAUUUCAGGUGUAGCGGUGAAAUGCGUAGAGAUCUGAAGGAAUACCGGUGGCGAAGGCGGCCCCCUGGACAGAUACUGACACUCAGAUGCGAAAGCGUG
rnacentral:rRNA from 1 species